GCCCCUGUAGCUCAGUGGAAUAGAGCGGCUGCCUUCUAAGCAGCGGGUCGGGCGUUCGAAUCGCCCCAGGGGUACCA
rnacentral:tRNA from 1 species